GAUCCUGGCUUAGGAUGAACGCUAGCGACAGGCUUAACACAUGCAAGUCGAGGGGCAGCAUGAUUUGUAGCAAUACAGAUUGAUGGCGACCGGCGCACGGGUGAGUAACGCGUAUGCAACUUACCUAUCAGAGGGGGAUAGCCCGGCGAAAGUCGGAUUAAUACUCCAUAAAACAGGGGUCCCGCAUGGGAAUAUUUGUUAAAGAUUCAUCGCUGAUAGAUAGGCAUGCGUU
rnacentral:rRNA from 1 species